rnacentral:misc_RNA from 1 species
GAUGAAGAACGUAGCGAAAUGCGAUAAGUAAUGUGAAUUGCAGAAUUCAGUGAAUCAUCGAAUCUUUGAACGCACAUUGCGCCCUCUGGUAUUCCGGGGGGCAUGCCUGUUCGAGCGUCAUUAUAACCACUCAAGCUCUCGCUUGGUAUUGGGGUUCGCGGUUCCGCGGCCCCUAAAAUCAGUGGCGGUGCCUGUCGGCUCUACGCGUAGUAAUACUCCUCGCGAUUGAGUCCGGUAGGUCUACUUGCCAGCAACCCCCAAUUUUUACAGGUUGACCUCGGAUCAGGUAGGGAUACCCGCUGAACUUAAGCAUAUCAAUAAGCAGAGGA